UAUAAUGCUUCAUAUGCUUGGUCUGUGAUCUCAUUCCUCCCAUGCCUGAUGAUGGGCAAGUACCGAUGUUUGUGGCUGUUGAAGUCUUAGGCUCUUGGCUAUUUCAAAAUUGUUCUUUUGCAAUUUUAAAUUUUUUGUUGGAAUAGAUGUUUAAUUUUGUGGCUUUGACCUGGUCCAUUCAGGAUUUGUUAGAAUAGAUACGUUUACCAGACAAAACUUAUGGAAAUUAUCUGGCUGGUGGUUAUGUUAGCAUUGUCAGUUUCAAUGUCCAUGGCUGUGUAUUUCAUUUUCCUAUGUCUUCAACGGUUUGUUUCUACUGAAUUUCAGCAGCACACUGAUAGAUGAUUAAAAUGCUUGAAUAAAUGAGAAAAAGAAUGCCUAAAUAAAUUUCAUAUUUGUUUGCUGCAAUCACAUGUUUUCCCACGGUGGAUGCUACCUUGAGCAGAUGAAUCGAUGGUCUAGCGUUCUUCUGCACUGAAUUUGUUCCGUGCAUCCUUUAGAAGAUCAAAAACCUUCUCGCAUGUGUAUUUCUGUUUCAUGCUUGCACCCCUUUGCUGCAACUUGUCAGGAUGAACACAAAGAGUG
rnacentral:misc_RNA from 1 species